UACGAAGGGGGCUAGCGUUGUUCGGAUUUACUGGGCGUAAAGCGCGUGUAGGCGGGUCGUUAAGUUGGGGGUGAAAUCCCGAGGCUCAACCUCGGAACUGCCUUCAAAACUGGCGACCUGGACUCAAGCAGAGUCAAGUGGAAUUGCGAGUGUAGAGGUGAAAUUAGUAGAAAUUCGCAGGAACACCAGUGGUGAAGGCGACUUGCUGGGCUUGUAGUGACGCUGAGACGCGAAAGCGUGGGUAGCAAACAGG
rnacentral:rRNA from 1 species